CUCUUUCAGAAUACACACACUACACCAUCACUUUAACCCAAGGGAUGCUCUCGUCCAGCUGGCAGACAGAACGAGACCCUCUUUCCAUUUCAUAACUUGAGGAAAUUGGGGCAGUGGGAGAGUAUAAAGUGUGUAACUUCCCUCUUGCUGAAUCUAGUCCACCUCCUGGCCCUUGACAGCCUGACCCUGUCUGCAACAUUGGCUACUUCCUCCUCCUUGAAGGUUCCUCCUUCCUACUCCCGCGGUAACACUUCUCUGUGCUCCUCCCUCCUCUUUUUGGCCCACUUUCUAGUCUCCCCUGAGUCUCGCUUCUGCCUGCCCCUUAAAUGCAGCCGUCCCCCAGGCUUCCCCUUCUCCCCUCAUCCCACUCCCUCAGUGGCCAUCUGCGGGCUGCCCGUGCAUGGCAGCCACCAUCACUGCCUAGAACUGGAAACCAAAAUGGCAUCUCCUGGCCGUGGAGAAGGACACGUACGACGCCCUGUGGAGAGGAAGACGGCCGCUCCCCAGAGAAGAUGCGCAGCUGGAUUCCAUCUCUGCACAGUGGGAGGAAGAAAAGAAUAUUUGCAUAGACAAAAAUGUCUGAAAGGCUAUUUAAACAGAACCUUAACAGCAGGUACUUUCUCACCCUCUAGACUGUCACUCAUUUAUUCAUUCGGUGAUUUUCUGUUGUGUGACUGCUCUGUGCCAGCUCCAAUUCUGCACUUGCAAAAAUCUCAGGUGAUCGAAGAGAACCCUCGCCUCCGUGCAGAACUGGGUGUGAUGGUGAACAGCCCCACCCUCCGCCACGUCACUCCCGCCACCAAACCUGCAAACCCAGCUGCAGCCGCUGCUGGCUUCCACCGCCCCUCCCCGGGCAGGGAGAGACGCUGCCUUCCGCUGGUGACCAGUCUCUGCACUUGUCUCCGGAUUCCAGCUUUCUGCCUCUUCAAGACCUCUCUCCGUUGACCAUCCUCUUUCCGUCCUGUGUCUUCAGCCUCCCUUCCUCUGUACUGGCUCAUUCUCAUCAGCAUGUAAACACACUAAAAGUCUCUUCCAGUUGGGGAACCGUACUGGAUGGAUUGAUUAGUUUAUAAAUUUUGGAUGAGGAUGGAGCUCCAUGCUGUUCGGGCUGCAUCUUGUGCAUUUAAAAAAGGGCUGGGCCUCCUGGGGGUCGUAGGCCCAUUAGUGGAUUGCUUUUCUGCUGAGGGUUCUGCAGCAGUCUUUCAAUUCUGAGGUCCACCUCCUGCUGGGCAGUGGCUGGAUGGGCAGCACGGAUGGUAAUAGGAGCUGCCAGCAGGCGCUGUGGACGGCGCACCAUUCUCUCCACCUGGACGGACAUGUCCUUGAACAUGAGUCUUCAAGACCUGUUGGCUCCCGACGCCGCCAAUCCUUCAACUGGGGGCGCGGGGGGCUCUGCAUAUCUAGUUCCCCUUAAAUGAGGGCCACUCAAAUGUGUGUUUUACGUCUAAAGAACUAGAACACAUCCUUGGUGCAUAACUGGGAAGUAUUUGGAAAACUGGCUGAAAAAUUUCAUAAAAGGCGUUCCCA
rnacentral:lncRNA from 1 species